rnacentral:rRNA from 1 species
AACGCGAAGAACCUUACCUGGGCUCGAACGGCUUCGGACAAUCCUUGGAAACAGGGACUUCCCGCAAGGGACUGGAGUCGAGGUGCUGCAUGGCUGUCGUCAGCUCGUGUCGUGAGAUGUUGGGUUAAGUCCCGCAACGAGCGCAACCCUCGUCCUAUGUUGCCAGCGGGUCAUGCCGGGGACUCAUGGGAGACUGCCGGGGUCAACUCGGAGGAAGGUGGGGAUGACGUCAAGUCAUCAUGCCCCUUAUGUCUUGGGCUGCAAACAUGCUACAAUGGCCGGUACAGAGGGCUGCGAGACCGUGAGGUUAAGCGAAUCCCGGAAAGCCGGUCUCAGUUCGGAUCGGGGUCUGCAACUCGGCCCCGUGAAGCUGGAGUCGCUAGUAAUCGCGGAUCAGCAACGCCGCGGUGAAUACGUUCCCGGGCCUUGUACACACCGCUAGUC